rnacentral:snRNA from 1 species
AUGUGGGUGUACCCCUCGCGGUCCUGAGUUUUUCGCUUCGGCAGCACAUAUACUAAAAAAUUGGAAUGAUACAGAGAAGAUUAGCAUGGCCCCUGCUUAUGUAUAUUUUAAAAAACCACUUAGAGGUUUUU